GACGAACGCUGGCGGCGUGCCUAAUACAUGCAAGUCGAACGCAUUUUCUUUCACCGUAGCUUGCUACACCGAAAGAAAAUGAGUGGCGAACGGGUGAGUAACACGUGGGUAACCUGCCCAUCAGCGGGGGAUAACACUUGGAAACAGGUGCUAAUACCGCAUAAUUCCAUUUACCGCAUGGUAGAUGGAUGAAAGGCGCUUUUGCGUCACUGAUGGAUGGACCCGCGGUGCAUUAGCUAGUUGGUGGGGUAACGGCCUACCAAGGCUGCGAUGCAUAGCCGACCUGAGAGGGUGAUCGGCCACACUGGGACUGAGACACGGCCCAGACUCCUACGGGAGGCAGCAGUAGGGAAUCUUCGGCAAUGGACACAAGUCUGACCGAGCAACGCCGCGUGAGUGAAGAAGGUUUUCGGAUCGUAAAACUCUGUUGUUAGAGAAGAACAAGGAUGAGAGUGGAAAGUUCAUCCCUUGACGGUAUCAAACCAGAAAGCCACGGCUAACUACGUG
rnacentral:rRNA from 1 species